rnacentral:rRNA from 1 species
GGUUAAGUUAGAAAGGGCGCACGGUGGAUGCCUUGACACUAGGAGUCGAUGAAGGACGGGACUAACGCCGAUAUGCUUCGGGGAGCUGUAAGUAAGCUUUGAUCCGAAGAUUUCCGAAUGGGGAAACCCACCAUACGUAAUGGUAUGGUAUCCUUAUCUGAAUACAUAGGGUAAGGAAGACAGACCCAGGGAACUGAAACAUCUAAGUACCUGGAGGAAGAGAAAGCAAAUGCGAUUUCCUGAGUAGCGGCGAGCGAAACGGAACAUAGCCCAAACCAAGAGGCUUGCCUCUUGGGGUUGUAGGACAUUCUAUACGGAGUUACAAAGGAACGAGGUAGACGAAGCGACCUGGAAAGGUCCGUCGUAGAGGGUAACAACCCCGUAGUCGAAACUUCGUUCUCUCUUGAAUGUAUCCUGAGUACGGCGGAACACGUGAAAUUCCGUCGGAAUCUGGGAGGACCAUCUCCCAAGGCUAAAUACUCCCUAGUGAUCGAUAGUGAACCAGUACCGUGAGGGAAAGGUGAAAAGCACCCCGGAAGGGGAGUGAAAGAGAUCCUGAAACCGUGUGCCUACAAAUAGUCAGAGCCCGUUAACGGGUGAUGGCGUGCCUUUUGUAGAAUGAACCGGCGAGUUACGAUCCCGUGCGAGGUUAAGCUGAAGAGGCGGAGCCGCAGCGAAAGCGAGUCUGAAUAGGGCGUUUAGUACGUGGUCGUAGACCCGAAACCAGGUGAUCUACCCAUGUCCAGGGUGAAGUUCAGGUAACACUGAAUGGAGGCCCGAACCCACGCACGUUGAAAAGUGCGGGGAUGAGGUGUGGGUAGCGGAGAAAUUCCAAUCGAACCUGGAGAUAGCUGGUUCUCCCCGAAAUAGCUUUAGGGCUAGCCUUAAGUGUAAGAGUCUUGGAGGUAGAGCACUGAUUGGACUAGGGGUCCUCAUCGGAUUACCGAAUUCAGUCAAACUCCGAAUGCCAAUGACUUAUCCUUAGGAGUCAGACUGCGAGUGAUAAGAUCCGUAGUCAAAAGGGAAACAGCCCAGACCGCCAGCUAAGGUCCCAAAGUGUGUAUUAAGUGGAAAAGGAUGUGGAGUUGCUUAGACAACUAGGAUGUUGGCUUAGAAGCAGCCACCAUUUAAAGAGUGCGUAAUAGCUCACUAGUCGAGUGACUCUGCGCCGAAAAUGUACCGGGGCUAAAUACACCACCGAAGCUGCGGAUUGAUACCGAAUGGUAUCAGUGGUAGGGGAGCGUUCUAAGGACAGUGAAGUCAGACCGGAAGGACUGGUGGAGUGCUUAGAAGUGAGAAUGCCGGUAUGAGUAGCGAAAGACGGGUGAGAAUCCCGUCCACCGAAUGCCUAAGGUUUCCUGAGGAAGGCUCGUCCGCUCAGGGUUAGUCAGGACCUAAGCCGAGGCCGACAGGCGUAGGCGAUGGACAACAGGUUGAUAUUCCUGUACCACCUCUUUAUCAUUUGAGCAAUGGAGGGACGCAGAAGGAUAGAAGAAGCGUGCGAUUGGUUGUGCACGUCCAAGCAGUUAGGCUGAUAAGUAGGCAAAUCCGCUUAUCGUGAAGGCUGAGCUGUGAUGGGGAAGCUCCUUAUGGAGCGAAGUCUUUGAUUCCCCGCUGCCAAGAAAAGCUUCUAGCGAGAUAAAAGGUGCCUGUACCGCAAACCGACACAGGUAGGCGAGGAGAGAAUCCUAAGGUGUGCGAGAGAACUCUGGUUAAGGAACUCGGCAAAAUGACCCCGUAACUUCGGGAGAAGGGGUGCUUUCUUAACGGAAAGCCGCAGUGAAUAGGCCCAAGCGACUGUUUAGCAAAAACACAGCUCUCUGCGAAGCCGUAAGGCGAAGUAUAGGGGGUGACACCUGCCCGGUGCUGGAAGGUUAAGGAGAGGGGUUAGCGUAAGCGAAGCUCUGAACUGAAGCCCCAGUAAACGGCGGCCGUAACUAUAACGGUCCUAAGGUAGCGAAAUUCCUUGUCGGGUAAGUUCCGACCCGCACGAAAGGUGUAACGAUUUGGGCACUGUCUCAACCAGAGACUCGGUGAAAUUAUAGUACCUGUGAAGAUGCAGGUUACCCGCGACAGGACGGAAAGACCCCGUGGAGCUUUACUGUAGCCUGAUAUUGAAUUUUGGUACAGUUUGUACAGGAUAGGCGGGAGCCUUUGAAACCGGAGCGCUAGCUUCGGUGGAGGCGCUGGUGGGAUACCGCCCUGACUGUAUUGAAAUUCUAACCUACGGGUCUUAUCGACCCGGGAGACAGUGUCAGGUGGGCAGUUUGACUGGGGCGGUCGCCUCCUAAAGUGUAACGGAGGCGCCCAAAGGUUCCCUCAGAAUGGUUGGAAAUCAUUCGUAGAGUGCAAAGGCAUAAGGGAGCUUGACUGCGAGACCUACAAGUCGAGCAGGGACGAAAGUCGGGCUUAGUGAUCCGGUGGUUCCGCAUGGAAGGGCCAUCGCUCAACGGAUAAAAGCUACCCCGGGGAUAACAGGCUUAUCUCCCCCAAGAGUCCACAUCGACGGGGAGGUUUGGCACCUCGAUGUCGGCUCAUCGCAUCCUGGGGCUGUAGUCGGUCCCAAGGGUUGGGCUGUUCGCCCAUUAAAGCGGUACGCGAGCUGGGUUCAGAACGUCGUGAGACAGUUCGGUCCCUAUCCGUCGUGGGCGUAGGAAAUUUGAGAGGAGCUGUCCUUAGUACGAGAGGACCGGGAUGGACGCACCGCUGGUGUACCAGUUGUUCUGCCAAGGGCAUAGCUGGGUAGCUAUGUGCGGAAGGGAUAAGUGCUGAAAGCAUCUAAGCAUGAAGCCCCCCUCAAGAUGAGAUUUCCCAUAGCGUAAGCUAGUAAGAUCCCUGAAAGAUGAUCAGGUUGAUAGGUUCGAGGUGGAAGCAUGGUGACAUGUGGAGCUGACGAAUACUAAUAGAUCGAGGACUUAACCAU